GACGAACCGUCCGAACGUUAUUCGGAAUCACUGGGCUUAAAGGGUGCGUAGGCGGCGCAGUAAGUAGGGUGUGAAAUCCCUCGGCUUAACCGAGGAACUGCGCCCUAAACUACUGUGCUCGAGGGAGAUAGAGGUGAGCGGAACUUAGGGUGGAGCGGUGAAAUGCGUUGAUAUCCUAAGGAACACCGGUGGCGAAAGCGGCUCACUGGAUCUCUUCUGACGCUGAGGCACGAAAGCUAGGGUAGCGAACGGG
rnacentral:rRNA from 1 species